AACCAUUCAAUGUUAAAAUUUUCAUAUUUCAUACCGUGAAAAGGACCCAAGUGUCUUUUUAACUAAAAAUUACUUUUAAUUGUUUGUGGAUAUGUUCUGACCUUCUUGCUCUAUUAAACUAUAAUAUGGAAAGUUUGAAAUCAUAGAUCACUCGAAUAUCUGAACUUAAGACAUGUCAGUGUAGCUCAUGGUGAAGAUAAUUUGCCUAAUCUACCUUAGUGGGCUGGAAUAAGAGUAGUUUCGAAGGAGUGGGGUGUUGGCCUGAAUAAUUCAAGCAAAGGUGAGAUUGUAUUAUUGGCUCUGAAACAGGCCUUUUUUUUAAUUACAGUAGUGUAACUUCACUAUUUACUACUCAAAUUAGAGAGAAAUAAUCUGAGACUUCUGUUUUGAUAUUGUUUUUGAAAGUUAAAAGGGAAAAUCUUAAAAAUUAAAGCUGAAACUCUACAUUGCUUUGGUUUUUGUAAUGAGAAACUGAUCUCUUUUAAACUAGGCUGUAGAAGCAUAUUAUGUAUGUAGCUUUUAGAAUCUUCCAGCUUUAAUUCUGAGUUCUCUGUCUGCAGGAUGAGAUUUGCAGAUCAGUUGCUAAUCAUGGGGGUAUAGACGCUAUUCUCCAUUGUAUUGACAAUAGUGGUGAGCAGUGCAACAAUACUGUGGCUAGAGCCUGCUGCUCGUUGUUGUCUAAGGUGCAAAGCUUAAAACAAAAUAUUCUUUCUUGCUCUUUUUUGGUGGAGGCCAAUUAAAUGUACAUCAUAUGAUUAUCUUCUUUUCUAAGGUCUCUCUUAGAUAAAUGCGUUCAAUUGCCAGGUGUUCUCUUUGGCUCUUUGCUGUUGUUCGUUUUUAAUAAAAUAAUCUGAUCUCGAGACAACUAUACAAUACGAGUUUAUAAAACUUUAAUAGGUAUUUGAUUUUAACCAUUUUUCGUUAUUGACAUUUUGUUAGAUGUCAUUGCGUUGAUUAAUAAAAUAAUCCAAUCCUGAGACACCAGAUAUGACUAGUUUAUGAAAUUAUAGUAGUUAUUUGUUUUUCACCAUUUUAUCAUUAGCUUUUGAUUGCAUUAUUUACAUUAUUGUAUCCUGCAAAGCUUUGUGCUCAGGAAAUCUUCAAGCAUUUCUAAUACGAUGCACUUUAUCAGUUGGCCGGAAGUGAUGUGAACAAGAGUGCUAUUGUUGAAAAGCAAGGCAUGGAUAGGCUUAUCAAACUAUCAUCAAGAUUCUCCGAUGAUCCUUCUGUGUUACAAGAGGUAAAGAAAUCAUUAGUUGUUUCUUAAAUUGAGUCAUACUUAAUUUGAAUUUCUUGACACUGAUGAAGAAAUAGGAACAUCCAUAGCUGUUUAUUCUGUGUGUUCAUGUGUUAACCCAAGGAACAACACAAGAUAAGCCCUCCCCAUGGGAUUCACAUUGAUAGCCAUAUGCAGAUAGGCCAGAACUAUUUUGCUGACUUAACUACUAACAUUUUUUUUUAAAUUGCAUCUUAUCGUUGCUGACAAAAUAAGUAGGAAUCGGAGUUAAAUUGUGGGGGUUAAUGCUGUGGACAUCAAUUAAAAAAUUAUCACGAUAUGAUUGUAAAUGUGCAAUUAGAAGUUGUAAAGCAGGCUGUGCCAACAGGCCAGGUUUUGCAUCACUGUGUAAUGCAUGUUCCAUGCCAAAUAUAGCAUUUGAUUAGCAAUUUCUGCACUACUUGGUGAAUCGAUGUGUACAUUUAACUCAUCAUGUUGCAUUUGUCUCGAGACAGGUCAUGUCCACUAUAUCCAUACUGUGUUUAAGGUCCCCUGAAAAUGCAGCCUGUGCUAUUGAAUCUGGGGCCGGAGACCUUGCUAUUCAAGCCAUGCAGAGGUUCCCAGAUUCAGACCAGCUGCAAAGGAACUCUUGUUUCAUGAUUAGGAACCUUGUGGUCAGGAAUCCAGAGAACAGGUUAUCCUUUAAAUUCGCUUUCCAUGAACUUUUCCUUUCUACUAUUAUACUAUUGAGUUUAUUUCUGAGAUCAUAACAUAUGUUAAAUCACUUAUGUUAUAGAACUCUUUUGCUCGGGAAUGGCAUUGAGGCGCUCCUCAGAAAGGCCAAGGCAUAUUUCGAUUUCUACUAAUUGAAUUUUUAGAAUAUUAUUUUGUUAAACUGCCUAACACUGCAAGAUAUUUUUGAUAUAAAAUUAAUUUAUCCAUUCAGGUUUUUGGUUAUGCUCGAAAAUUUGCAAAAUUAGGAAUUGCAGAAGUUCUCGUGGACUCACUCCAAGAAGGGAUCAGUUCGUCCAGUCUAGUAUCAGCCAGCAUUGCGUUGAAGGCUGUUGCUGUCAAUGUAAGUCUAUCUACAUGCAACCAUUCAAUGUUAAAAUUUUCAUAUUUCAUACCGUGAAAAGGACCCAAGUGUCUUUUUAACUAAAAAUUACUUUUAAUUGUUUGUGGAUAUGUUCUGACCUUCUUGCUCUAUUAAACUAUAAUAUGGAAAGUUUGAAAUCAUAGAUCACUCGAAUAUCUGAACUUAAGACAUGUCAGUGUAGCUCAUGGUGAAGAUAAUUUGCCUAAUCUACCUUAGUGGGCUGGAAUAAGAGUAGUUUCGAAGGAGUGGGGUGUUGGCCUGAAUAAUUCAAGCAAAGGUGAGAUUGUAUUAUUGGCUCUGAAACAGGC
rnacentral:lncRNA from 1 species